UUAAAUUGAAGAGUUUGAUCAUGGCUCAGAUUGAACGCUGGCGGCAGGCCUAACACAUGCAAGUCGAACGGUAACAGGAAACAGCUUGCUGUUUCGCUGACGAGUGGCGGACGGGUGAGUAAUGUCUGGGAAACUGCCUGAUGGAGGGGGAUAACUACUGGAAACGGUAGCUAAUACCGCAUAACGUCGCAAGACCAAAGAGGGGGACCUUCGGGCCUCUUGCCAUCGGAUGUGCCCAGAUGGGAUUAGCUAGUAGGUGGGGUAACGGCUCACCUAGGCGACGAUCCCUAGCUGGUCUGAGAGGAUGACCAGCCACACUGGAACUGAGACACGGUCCAGACUCCUACGGGAGGCAGCAGUGGGGAAUAUUGCACAA
rnacentral:rRNA from 1 species